AAAGUUUUUAUUUAAUAAUAUGUAUUAAGUGUAUUUCAUUUGCAAAGUACCAAGAAAACCAAAUAGACCGAGCCAGUGUUUGACCAAAUUGGUCAUUGAGGGGGUCUUGUCAAAUUGGGAAUAACACCUGAAAGUAAAAAGCCUGAAUAAGUUUUCUUUGCAUUUAUUUCUCUUCAAAGAAUAAGUUCUAUUCUAAAAUCAAUCUAAACGCAAUGCAUUUUUAAAAUGCAACGCAUUUUAAUUAAAUUAGGCUGUUAUUAAUUUCUAGGUGGGAUCAAAGAGGAAAAAUUGUGUUACAAGAAUAAAAUUGUUAUUUGUUCGAAUGGAACUGAUGACUUUUACUUACAGUAAAAAAUAUCAGGAAGUGGAAGCUUUUGGCUACAUUGGAGGCCUGCUUGGAGUAUGGCUGGGAUUGUCUUUGGUAGCUGUUUUCGAUUUUUUAGAAACAUGCUUCAUGAUUUUCCUUUUCAUUAUGAAGAAAUUGAUGAAGAAAGAAAAUAACAAAAAUGGAAAACUCACUUACAUGGAUGGGUUUAAGCGUCAAGUCAUGAUCGUGAAGUAGAGCACAACACUUCAACUAUAAAAAUAAGAUUGCCUUAUAAAAUAGAAAUAAAGUUGAAUUAGCUCAGUUUGCUGUUGAUAUUUAAAAAUUUGAGAAUUGUAAACACGAAAUUGUAAAAAACGAGUAAGAAGGAUAG